UACGGGGGGAGCAAGCGUUGUUCGGAUUUACUGGGCGUAAAGGGCGCGUAGGCGGCCUGUGCACGUCAGUUGUGAAAUCUCCGGGCUUAACUCGGAAAGGUCAACUGAUACUGCUCGGCUAGAGUGCGGAAGGGGCAACUGGAAUUCUUGGUGUAGCGGUGAAAUGCGUAGAUAUCAAGAGGAACACCUGCGGCGAAGGCGGGUUGCUGGGCCGACACUGACGCUGAUGCGCGAAAGCCAGGGGAGCGAACGGG
rnacentral:rRNA from 1 species